rnacentral:rRNA from 1 species
GGUUCGAUCAUGGCUCGAUUGAACGCUGGCGGGAUGUUUAUGGCUACGCAAGUCGAACGGCAGUACGGAUCCCGGUCUGGUGGCGAGUGGCGAACGGGUGAGUAAUGUAUCGGAACGUGCCUAGUAGCGGGGGAUAACUACGCUGCUGUAGCUAAUACCGCAUACGCCCUUCGGGGAAAGCGGGGGGACCUUCAGCCCCCGCACUAUUAGAGCGGCCGCCGAUAUCGGAUUAGCUAGUUGGUGGGGUAACGGCUCACCAGGGCGACGAUCCGUAGCUGGUUUGAGAGGACGAUCAGCCACACUGGGACUGAGACACGGCCCAGACUUGCAUGUGAGGCAAAAGCAGUGGGGAAUUUUGGACAAUGGGGGAAACCCUGAUCCAGCCAUCCUGCGUGCGAUGAAGGCCUUCGGGUUGUAAAGCACUUUUGGCAGGAAAGAAACGGCACGGGAUAAUAAUUCCGUGCAACUGACGGUACCUGCAGAAUAAGCACUGGCUAACUACGUGCCAGCAGCCGCGGUAAUACGGUAGGCGUAAGCGUUAAUCGGAAUUACUGGGCGUAAAGCGCAGGCAGGCGGUUCGAAAGAAAGAUGAAAUCCCAGAGCUUAACUUUGGAACUGCAUUUUUAACUACUGAGCUAGAGGUCAGAGGGGGGUGGAAUUCCGCGUAGCAGUGAAAUGCGUAUAUGGAUGAACACCGAUGGCGAAGGCAGCCUCCUGGGAUAACACUGACGCUCAUGCACGAAAGCGUGGGGAGCAAACAGGAUUAGAUACCCUGGUAGUCCACGCCACCAAACGAUGUCAACUAGCUGUUGGGGCCUUCGGGCCUUGGUAGCGCAGCUAACGCGUGAAGUUGACCGCCUGGGGAGUACGGUCGCAAGAUUAAAACUCAAAGGAAUUGACGGGGGACCCGCACAAGCGGUGGAUGAUGUGGAUUAAUUCGAUGCAAACGCGAAAACCUUACCUACCUUGACAUGUCUGGAAUCCCGAAGAGAUUUGGGAGUGCUCGCAAGAGAACCGGAACACAGGUGCUGCAUGGCUGUCGUCAGCUCGUGUCGUGAGAUGCUGGGUUAAGUCCCGCAACGAGCGCAACCCUUGUCAUUAGUUGGCAUGAAAGGGCACUCUAAUGAGACUGCCGGUGACAAACCGGAGGAAGGUGGGGAUGACGUCAAGUCCUCAUGGCCCUUAUGGGGCCACACGUCAUACAAUGGUCGGGACAGAGGGUCGCCAACCUGGCGAGGGGAGCCAAUCCCAGGAAACCCGCGAUCGUAGUCCGGAUCGCAGUCUGCAACUCGACUGCGUGAAGUCGGAAUCGCUAGUAAUCGCAGAUCAGCAUGUCGGUGAAUACGUUCCCGGGUCUUGUACACACCGCCCGUCACACCAUGGGAGUGGGUUUUACCAGAAGUAGUUAGCCUAACCGUAAGGAGGGCGAUUACCAUUGUGAUCUAUGACUGGGUGAAGUCGUAACAAGGUAG